rnacentral:tRNA from 1 species
UAUGUUUUAGUGUAAGGUGCACAAAAGUUUUUGAUACUUUAAGAAAUAGUUCAAGUCUAUUGGAUAUAA